GACGGGGGAUGCAAGCGUUAUCCGGAAUCACUGGGCGUAAAGGGCGCGUAGGCGGUGGGUUACGUCUGCCGUGAAAUCCCCGGGCUCAACCUGGGAAUGGCGGUGGAAACGGGCUGACUGGAGUAUGGGAGAGGGUGAUGGAAUUCCAGGUGUAGCGGUGAAAUGCGUAGAGAUCUGGAGGAACACCAGUGGCGAAGGCGGUCACCUGGCCCAAUACUGACGCUGAGGCGCGAAAGCGUGGGGAGCAAACAGG
rnacentral:rRNA from 1 species